rnacentral:rRNA from 1 species
UAGUAUUUAUUAGAUAUUAAACCAAUCCCUUCGGGGUUGUGAUGAUUCAUAAUAACUGAUCGAAGCGAGGAUUUCCUUGCUAAAUCAUUCAAGUUUCUGCCCUAUCAGCUUUAGAUGGUAGUGUAUUGGACUACCAUGGCUAUCACGGGUAACGGAGAAUUAGGGUUCGAUUCCGGAGAGGGAGCCUGAGAAAUGGCUACCACAUCUAAGGAUGGCAGCAGGUGCGAAAAUUGCCCAAUCCCGAUUCGGGGAGGCAGUGACAAGAAAUAUCAACCCAGGUCUUAUGACCAGGAUUGCAAAUGAGAAAAAUCCAAAAAACUUAUCGAGUAUCAACUGGAGGGCAAGCUAUGGUGCCAGCAGCCGCGGUAAUUCCAUCUCCAGUAGCGUAUAUUAAAGUUGCUGCAGUUAAAAAGCUCGUAGUUGAAAUUCUGUCCGGUUGAGCGAUUUCCAAAUGGUCUUCGCCUCACCGGGCAUCAGUCUGCAAUCAUUUUCACGACAUUCACUUGUCGGGAUUGGGAGCAGGCGUUUUACCUUGAGAAAAUUAGAGUGUUCCAGGCAGGCUUCAGCCCGAAUACAUUAGCAUGGAAUAAUAGAAUAGGACUAGAGACUAUUUAUUGGUUUAAGGCUUUAGUAAUGAUUAAUAGG